ensembl:lncRNA
GUAGUUGGUUUGUCCUGGUUUGUAGUUGACUCUUCUCCACGAUCAGGUUGGAAUUACUGGUCCUCAGCUGGUCUCUCUCUCUCUGUAGCUGGUUUCUCUCUGUCUGUAGCUGGUUUCUCUCUGCAGUAAGAUGAGAGUUACUGGUCUGUAGUUGGUCGGUCUUGGUCUGUAGUUGUUUCUUCUCCACGGCCAGGUUGGAAUUACUGGUCCUCAGCUGGUCCCUCUCUGUCUGUAGCUGGUUUCUCUCUGCAGUAAGAUGAGUUACUGGUCAGUAGUUGAUCUCUCUUGGUCUGUAGUUGUUUACUCUCUAUGGCCAGGCUAGAGAUACUGGUCCUUAGCUGCUCUCUCUCUCUCUCUCUCUCUCUCUCCGUCUGUUGCUAGUUUCUCUUUACAGUCAAAUUAGAGUAACUGGUCUGUUUCUGUCUGGAGCUGGUUUCUCUAUGCGGUUAGAUUGGAGUUACUGAGCAGUGGUCUGUCCUUUUAAAUCUGGUUUCUCUCUUGCUGUAGCUGGUUUAUCUAAGUGACUAGGUUGGUAUAACUGGUCAGGAGCUGGUCCCUCUCUGUCCGCAGCUGGUCCCACUCUGUCUGUAGCUGGUUUCUCUCUGCAGUAAGAUGAGAGUUACUGGUCUGUAGAUGAUCUGUUUUGGUCUGUAGUUGUUUCCUCUCUAUGGCCAGGUCCAAUACACUAGUCCUUAGCUGCUCUCUCUCUUUUUCUGUCUUGUUGGUUUUUCUUUACAGGUAAAUUAGAGUAACUGGUCAGUAGCUGGUCUGUUUCUGUCUGUAGCUGGUUUCUCUAUGCGGUUAGAUUGGAGUUACUGUGGCUUGUACAUUUUUUAAUUGGUUUCUCUCUAUCUGUAGCUGGUUUAUCUAAGUGACUAGGUUUGUAUAACUGGUCAGGAGCUGUUCUCUCUCUGCCUCUAACAAAAUUACACAACUGAUCAGUAGUUUGUCUCACUGUGUUUGGUGCUAGUUCACUAAGUCAAAUUAGAAUAACUGGUCAGUAGCUGGUCUAAAUACAUUUUUUCUCUGUUGUCAGAUUUGGGUUAUUGGGGUCUGUCUAUAGUCUAUUGCUGGUUUUGUCUAUACAGUGAGAUGGGAGUUACCGAUCAGUAGCUGGUCUUUCUCUGUCUGCAGAUUGUUUCUCUCCUCAGUCAGAUUAAAGUGACUGGUUUGAAGUUGGUCUCUCUCUGUCUGGAGCUGGUCCUUCUGUAUAACAUACAUGACACACAGUCCCGUUGCUACCAGCAGCAGCAGCAAACACAGCAGUCCCA